GGGCCUGUAGCUCAGUCGGCAGAGCAUCGGACUUUUAAUCCGCGGGUCGAGGGUUCGAUCCCCUCCGGGCCCAC
rnacentral:tRNA from 1 species